GGUCUCCUCCCCACAGGCCUGCGCCUGCGCGAGGCACAGGAUUCCGAGUCACGCCUGAUGGUGGGAGGUAGCAACCCUCCGUUCUCUUCCGCGGGCGGGAGAGUUAGAUAGCCACUCAAGAAAACACCAUGAAAGAUACUGACAUCAAGAGACUACUGUAUGUCCAUCUAUUAUGCGUAUUUUCAAUUAUCCUAAGCAUCUUCAUUCCAUCAUUCUUCUUGGAGAACUUCUCAGUACUGGAAACACACUUGACAUGGUUGUGCAUCUGUUCUGUUUCUGUAACUGCCGUCAAUUUAGUAUUGUAUUUAGUAGUGAAACCAAAUGCAUCUUCUAAAAGAAGUGCAUUAUCAUACAAGGUAACCAGAUUUUUGAAAUGCUGUGUCUACUUUCUUAUGUCUUGUUUCUCCUUUCAUGUAAUUUUUGUUCUAUAUGGAGCACCACUAAUAGAGUUGGCGUUGGAAACAUUUUUACUCGCAGUUACUUUGUCCACUUUUACUACUGUACCUUGUUUAUGUUUGUUAGGACCAAACUUCAAAGCAUGGCUAAGAGUUUUCAGUAGAAAUGGGGUUACAUCCAUUUGGGAGAAUAGUCUCCAGAUCACUACAGUUUCUAGUUUUGUAGGAACAUGGCUUGGAGCCUUUCCUAUUCCACUCGAUUGGGGAAGACCAUGGCAGGUCCUAGUUGCGGCUCUCCAGCUCCUUAGUUGUGGCAUGCAAACUCUUAGUUGUGGCAUGCAUGUGGGACCUAGUUCCCUGACCAGGGAUCGAACCCAGGCCCCCUGCAUUGGGAGUGCGGAGUCUUAUCUGCUGCGCCACCAGGGAAGUCCCUCCAGUUUUCUCUUUAGUGUAAAUUCCUAGAUGCUCACAGUUGGCCGAUGAUGCGGAGAUCCACCACAUGAGAAACAGAGGAAAGAAUAUUAUCCCAAGUGUUUACAUAGAGUGUUAAAUAAAAACUACUAAGGAAUGGCCCAUCUCCUGCACGCUUGGAGCAACCUUUGGCUACAUGGCUGGCCUUGUUACUUCACCACUCUGGAUAUACUGGAAUAGAAAGAAACUUACAUACAAGAACAAUUAAUUGGAGCAA